rnacentral:lncRNA from 1 species
AUUGUAUGCAUGUGUGUGUGUAUGUGUGGCAUGUAUUCUUACUAUGCAUCCUCAUAUCUAUUUUUCUUUCACUAGCAUCUCAAAUUGCAUUAUUCAUAUAGAAUUCAUACCACUUGAAAGUAAUGCAGUUUUAAAAUGUAUGAUACUACUAAAAAUUACUUUGUUAAUAUUCUUUAUUGUUCCUAAACUAUGGCAUUUUUGUAAUAUAAAUUUAAAUUUAUUAUAUUAUUAUUUUUUUAUUAUUAUUGUCAUUGUCAUUUUUUUUUCUUUUUUUUACAGAAGUUGAAGGGAAAUUUUUGAAAUUGUAAUAUUUUAUCUUAAAUCUUUUCUCUAAAUUCUUUAAUAUGUUUCUGCUCAAGGCCACUAUUGUGAGUGUGAAUUUAAAACUUGUCACAACUAUGAGCUAGUCAAAUUAAAUAUAUAUUAUAAAUAUGUGUAAACAGUGUAAUGUAUAUUUCCCUUCAACUUCAUAUCAUAGUCAGUAUUGUGUUUAUACUUGAAGGCAAUAACAAAAACAGAGAAGAGAGGAAGGAAUAACACAAAAAAUUAUUUUUCGGAGAGGUUGAGCCUCUAUGUCAGAUUAAAAUUUGGGUGCAAUUUUCAAAUUCUGAUUUGGUCUUUAUAAUUUCAGUGGUCACAUUUAUAUAUAUUUAUUUAUAUAUAUAUAUAUUAAAAAAAAACAUACAUAUAUGUAUAUAUAAAGUACACUC